CCUACGGGUGGCAGCAGUGAGGAAUAUUGGUCAAUGGACGAGAGUCUGAACCAGCCACGUAGCGUGAAGGAUGACGGCCCUAUGGGUUGUAAACUUCUUUUAUAUGGGAAUAAAAUGUUCCACGUGUGGGAUUUUGUAUGUACCAUAUGAAUAAGGAUCGGCUAACUCCGUGCCAGCAGCCGCGGUAAUACGGAGGAUCCGAGCGUUAUCCGGAUUUAUUGGGUUUAAAGGGAGCGUAGGUGGAUUGUUAAGUCAGUUGUGAAAGUUUGCGGCUCAACCGUAAAAUUGCAGUGGAAACUGGCAGUCUUGAGUACAGUAGAGGUGGGCGGAAUUCGUGGUGUAGCGGUGAAAUGCUUAGAUAUCACGAAGAACUCCGAUUGCGAAGGCAGUUCACUGGACUGCAACUGACGCUGAGGCUCGAAAGUGUGGGUAUCAAACAGGAUUAGAUACCCGUGUAGUC
rnacentral:rRNA from 1 species